rnacentral:rRNA from 1 species
UACAGAGGGGGCAAACGUUGUUCGGAAUUACUGGGCGUAAAGGGCGCGUAGGCGGCCUGCUAAGUCGAACGUGAAAUCCCUGGGCUCAACCCAGGAACUGCGUCCGAUACUGGUUGGCUUGAAUCCGGGAGAGGGAUGUGGAAUUCCAGGUGUAGCGGUGAAAUGCGUAGAUAUCUGGAGGAACACCGGUGGCGAAGGCGACAUCCUGGACCGGCAUUGACGCUGAGGCGCGAAAGCCAGGGGAGCAAACGGG